AGGUACACCAAAAAGUUUAAACUUUGUUGAAGUUCAGGGAAGUUUUUAUAGCAUUCCAGGAGUAAAGGAUCUACACGAUUUAAGGAUGUGGUCCCUGUCACUCAAUAAAAUAGCAUUAUCUGAGCAUUAUCUGUUCAUAUAGCUGUUGGUAUGUAUGUUAACUUUAUGGAUCUACAUAAUUUAAGGAUGUCGGCCCUGUAUAAAAUAUGGUAAAAUAAAAAUUAGAAUGGAAAUAGGGAAUAUGUCAAAGAGACAACAACCUGACCAAAGAGCAGAUAACAGCAAAAGGACACCAACAGCAGUAAAAUCCUACAUCCAGAGGUGAGCUACAGCUGGCCCUUAAAUAAGAAUAUAUAUUUGUUCAGUUAAAAUGGACAUCAUAAACUUUAUAUGCAGCUGUGAGAAUGUAUGGUUUAUUUAUUUUUUUUUAGAACAACCAUAGCCCCAACCUACAAUCCUUAAUAUUCAUAACAAAAGAUGUUAAGAUUAAUAUUCAAUCCAUAGACACACACAUUUUCUGUAUCACAUUAUGCUAAAAAAGUUAUAAGUUAUGGGGGAAAAUGCACCAAAACCUGACUUUUCAACACAAAUAUUACAUUAUUCAGCAUUAAGGGGUCAUAACUUUAAAAUUUAUAAUAUAUAUUGUUUUGAAAUAUUUUUCUAUGCCAAAGUUGUAUUAAUUUGGCUUGAUCUGAAAAAAGUUAACCCAUUCAGAACCUACUCAUUUUCAUGUGUAUGAUACAAAUUUUAAAUAAUAAAAUUAGAUGUUUUUGUUUAGAAAUUGUGAGCCAACCUUAGAUAGGCAAUCAGAAUUAAAGGAGAAUUUGUUGUGAAUUAUAUUCUAAGAACAAUUGUAUUUUGUAGAUCCAGAUGCAGACCCAUUAAAAGUAUUAAAAUUAGCAUCAGCUAUGGUACAAAAAAAGUAUGGUAUAGCAGAGACAACGAUUCAAGUUGAAGAAUACAUUAAUGAGAUGGAAAACUGUACACAUUGUAAAGACUUGCCAGAUUAAGAUACAGUUUUAUACAGCAAUAAAUAAUGUUCUUAUGGAAGGUUCUGGCAGGUUAUUUAACAUGGGUUAUCUCCCAUUUUCAAGAGUUCUUACAAAUGAAUAUCAGACCUGCCAACUAUCCUGAUUUUCGUACAUCCCGAUUUUUAUCCCUCAACCCGAAUCCCUAUAUGGGGAUCGUAAAACUAGUCAAAAUCCCGAUUUUCACCAAAUAUACCCGAAAAAAUUAUUGUUUACCAAUUAUGAAGUUUUUCUGAUCAAUUUUAAAAAAUCUAUAAUUUUACCUGGGGACAUAUUAUGACAGGUUAACGACCCUACGCUAAUCAACAGUCACAACAGUUGUCAUAAUUAGUGGUUGUAUGUAAUCAGAUUACCUAGUGGGUCGUAACAGUCCUCAAAAUUAAUUUGUAUACACAAAUUUGGUCAAACAAUUGAUCAUUCAAGCACAAUUUGCAACAUUUGCCGUAGUUCCACAACAAAAUCAUAAUUAAUUGAAAGAUGAGAACUGUAAUGAACUCUUUAGAAAACAUCGUUUAUCUUGAAAUCCGUUUAAUUUUUGAAACCUGACGUGAUAUGUCUAUUGAUUUAAAAUCGACGCCAUUUUGUAUUCACUUCUUCUGUGUUACUGUAUAAGCCUCCACUGGUAAGAACACCUCUGAAUACAAAGAAAGAUAACUCAAAUUUUAUCCAUUUUCUCAUUGAUACUGAUAAGACCAUAAGUAAGACUAAAUCAAAAUCUGUCUUCAUCCUUCUUAAUUUAGG
rnacentral:lncRNA from 1 species